rfam:Ipomoea nil DNA, scaffold: scaffold2701, cultivar: Tokyo-kokei standard.
CUGACCUUAGCUCAGUGGGUAGAGUGGUGGACUGUAGUUGGACUAAUCUAAAUUGGAAAUCCUUAGGUCGCUGGUUUGAUUCCGACAGGUUGGA